GUAUUGUAACAAAACUCUGCAUGAAGAGAGUAAGGACGAAAGAAACGAAUAGAAGAAAUUAAUUUGUUGGAUAUUUUAUUAGCUUCAUUUAGACGAUGAAAAAACCUUCAGGAAAACCUAGUAUAAAAGACAAACCAAUGGGAGCCAUUGAUCAUGUUUUAGAUUUAUACAGAAACCCAAAUAAAUGGAGACUUAUCAAACAUACAACAAUAUUUAUACUAGCAGUAUAUGGGGCAAGAUCAUUUUCUGACAUAAACCUUAUGGAACCACCACAAUCACUACAGUAAAACUUUUGUACCAGCCUUUUGAAGAAAAGCAACAAAGACCCAAAAGGAUAUGAACUUUCUGAUAUAUUUCAACUGUCAUAGAAUAUUAACCAGAAUUUAUAUAGUGCAUACUAUUUCUUGUGUGUAUUGAAUGAUAGGAAAUAUAUUUUAUUUUUGAAAUA